GGGCCCAUAGUUUAAUGGUAAAACGGUACAUUUGCAAUGUACAGUUAGCAGUUCGAUUCUGCUUGGGUCCA
rnacentral:tRNA from 1 species